rnacentral:rRNA from 1 species
UACGUAGGUGACAAGCGUUGUCCGGAUUUACUGGGCGUAAAGAGCGUGCAGGCGGUCGAUCAAGUCGAGUGUGAAAGCCCCCGGCUCAACUGGGGAGGGUCAUUCGAUACUGAUCGACUCGAAGGCAGGAGAGGGUAGUGGAAUUCCCGGUGUAGUGGUGAAAUGCGUAGAUAUCGGGAGGAACACCAGUGGCGAAGGCGACUACCUGGCCUGUUCUUGACGCUGAGGCGCGAAAGCUAGGGGAGCAAACAGG